rnacentral:rRNA from 1 species
AUUGAACGCUGGCGGCAGGCCUAACACAUGCAAGUCGAACGGUAACAGGAAGAAGCUUGCUUCUUUGCUGACGAGUGGCGGACGGGUGAGUAAUGUCUGGGAAACUGCCUGAUGGGGGGGGAUAACUACUGGAAACGGUAGCUAAUACCGCAUAACGUCGCAAGACCAAAGAGGGGGACCUUCGGGCCUCUUGCCAUCGGAUGUGCCCAGAUGGGAUUAGCUAGUAGGUGGGGUAACGGCUCACCUAGGCGACGAUCCCUAGCUGGUCUGAGAGGAUGACCAGCCACACUGGAACUGAGACACGGUCCAGACUCCUACGGGAGGCAGCAGUGGGGAAUAUUGCACAAUGGGCGCAAGCCUGAUGCAGCCAUGCCGCGUGUAUGAAGAAGGCCUUCGGGUUGUAAAGUACUUUCAGCGGGGAGGAAGGGAGUAAAGUUAAUACCUUUGCUCAUUGACGUUACCCGCAGAAGAAGCACCGGCUAACUCCGU